UAGUAACGGCGAGUGAAGCGGCAACAGCUCAAAUUUGAAAGCUGGCCUUCGGGUCCGCAUUGUAAUUUGUAGAGGAUGCUUUGGGUGAAACGCCAGUCUAAGUUCCUUGGAACAGGACGUCAUAGAGGGUGAGAAUCCCGUAUGUGACUGGAAAUGUUAACCUAUGUAAAGCUCCUUCGACGAGUCGAGUUGUUUGGGAAUGCAGCUCUAAAUGGGAGGUAAAUUUCUUCUAAAGCUAAAUAUUGGCGAGAGACCGAUAGCGCACAAGUAGAGUGAUCGAAAGAUGAAAAGCACUUUGGAAAGAGAGUUAAAAAGCACGUGAAAUUGUUGAAAGGGAAGCGCUUGCAAUCAGACUUGUUUAAACUGUUCGGCCGGUCUUCUGACCGGUUUACUCAGUUUGGACAGGCCAGCAUCAGUUUCGGCGGCCGGAUAAAGGCUCUGGGAAUGUGGCCUUCACUUCGGUGAAGGUGUUAUAGCCCAGGGUGUAAUACGGCCAGCCGGGACUGAGGUCCGCGCUUCGGCUAGGAUGCUGGCGUAAUGGUUGUAAGCGACCCGUCUUGAAACACGGACCA
rnacentral:rRNA from 1 species